UGGGGAAUAUUGCACAAUGGGCGCAAGCCUCAUGCAGCCAUGCCGCGUGUAUGAAGAAGGCCUUCGGGUUGUAAAGUACUUUCAGCGGGGAGGAAGGCGAUAAGGUUAAUAACCUUGUCGAUUGACGUUACCCGCAGAAGAAGCACCGGCUAACUCCGUGCCAGCAGCCGCGGUAAUACGGAGGGUGCAAGCGUUAAUCGGAAUUACUGGGCGUAAAGCGCACGCAGGCGGUCUGUCAAGUCGGAUGUGAAAUCCCCGGGCUCAACCUGGGAACUGCAUUCGAAACUGGCAGGCUAGAGUCUUGUAGAGGGGGGUAGAAUUCCAGGUGUAGCGGUGAAAUGCGUAGAGAUCUGGAGGAAUACCGGUGGCGAAGGCGGCCCCCUGGACAAAGACUGACGCUCAGGUGCGAAAGCGUGGGGAGCAAACA
rnacentral:rRNA from 1 species